CCACCUGCCGCACCUUGGGGCGGGGCAGGGCCGCCUCUGCGGGGCGGGGCAGGGCAGGCGCCGUCCAACCCUACCCUCCUACCCCGGACUCCAACCCGGAACUAGCCUCUGCUCCGGCUCCCUUGGGAAGGCCGCGGCGCCUUGUCAGGAGUGGGAACCUGGGCUUUGAGCGCGGGCCACAGGAACCAAACCUCGGACAGAGGAACACCUUCGUCUUCAGGGGCCUCAGACCAGGCGUGCCCUCCGCGGGAAGUUGCACGUCUGGAGUACAGAGGCCCUCACCUCUCUGAUUGGCAUGGCGCCCCCGCGGAAUGUGGUGAAGAUCGCCGUCCAGAUGCGUGACGCCAUCCCGCAGCUCAUCCAGCUGGACCAGGCAAAACCCCUGGCUGCUGUGCUGAAGGAGGUGUGCGACGCGUGGAGCCUGCUUCACUCUGAGCGCUAUGCCCUCCAGUUUGCUGAUGGGCAUAGGAGAUACAUCACUGAGAAUAACCGCAUGGAGAUCAAGAAUGGCAGCAUCUUGUGCCUCAGCACUGCUCCAGACCUUGAGGCUGAGCGGCUGUUGGGUGGGCUGCAGAGCGAGAGUCGUGAAGGGCGCCGGGAAGCCCUGCGGCACCUCGUCCUGUUGGCCCCAGACAUGACCUUUGCCCAGGAGGUUAUCAGCCGUGAUGGGCUUCAGAGACUAGGCACCAUCAUUGAGGAUGGGGACGACCUAGGGGAGGUGCUGGCCCUUGCACUGAGAGCCUUUUUGGAGCUCAUGGAGCAUGGCGUGGUGUCCUGGGAGACGCUCAGCAUCCCCUUUGUUAGGAAGGUGGUGUGCUACGUGAACAUGAACCUGAUGGAUGCAUCUGUGCAGCCCUUGGCCCUGGGGUUGCUGGAGAGUGUGACCUUGAGCAGCCCUGCCCUGGGCCAGCUGGUCAAGAGCGAGGUGCCAUUGGAUAGGCUGCUGGUGCACCUACAGGUGAUGAACCAGCAGCUGCAAACCAAGGCCAUGGCACUGCUGACAGCUUUGCUGCAGGGAGCCAGCCCUGCUGAACGUAAGCACAUGCUUGACUACCUGUGGCAGAGAAACCUUCGCCAGUUCAUCUACAAGAACAUCAUCCACAGUGCAGCGCCACUGGGCGACGAGAUGGCUCACCACUUGUACGUACUGCAGGCCCUUACACUUGGGCUGCUGGAACCACGCAUGCGCACGCCACUGGACCCCUACAGCCAGGAGCAGCGGGAGCAGCUACAAGCCCUGCGCCAGGCUGCUUUUGAGCCAGAGGGGGAGCCCCUGGGUGCUGGGCUGAGUGCUGACCGUCGUCGUUCCCUCUGUGCCCGCGAGUUCCGCAAACUGGGCUUCUCUAACAGCAACCCUGCGCAGGACCUGGAGCGCGUGCCCCCUGGCCUGCUGGCCCUGGACAACAUGCUCUACUUUUCCAGACAUGCACCCAGUGCCUACAGCCGGUUUGUGUUGGAGAACAGCAGCCGUGAGGACAAGCAUGAGUGCCCCUUUGCCCGGAGCAGCAUCCAGCUGACUGUGCUGCUGUGUGAGCUGCUCCGUGUCGGAGAGCCCUGCUCCGAAACAGCCCAGGACUUUUCACCCAUGUUCUUCAGUCAAGACCAGAGCUUCCAUGAGCUCUUCUGUGUGAGCAUCCAGCUGCUGAAUAAGACCUGGAAGGAGAUGCGGGCCACUCAGGAGGACUUUGACAAGGUCAUGCAAGUGGUGCGGGAGCAGCUGGCCCGCACGCUGGCCCUGAAGCCCAGCUCCCUAGAGCUCUUCCGAACCAAGGUGAACACGCUCACCUAUGGGGAGGUGCUGCGGUUGCGGCAGACCGAGCGGCUGCAUCAGGAAGGCACACUGGCCCCUCCCAUUCUGGAGCUGCGGGAGAAGCUGAAGCCAGAGCUCAUGGGCCUGAUCCGCCAGCAGCGUUUGCUCCGCCUCUGCGAGGGGACACUCUUCCGCAAGAUCAGCAGCCGGCGGCGCCAGGACAAGCUGUGGUUCUGCUGCCUGUCCCCCAACCACAAGGUGCUGCAGUAUGGGGAUGUGGAGGAGGGUUCCGGCCCCCCGGUCCCGGAGAGCCUGCCUGAGCAGCUCCCCGUGGCCGACAUCAGGGCACUACUGACAGGCAAGGACUGCCCCCAUGUCCGGGAGAAGGGCUCAGGGAAGCAGAACAAGGACUUUUGUGAGUUAGCUUUCUCAAUCAGCUAUGACCACGGGGAGGAGGAGGCCUACCUCAACUUCAUUGCCCCAUCCAAACGGGAGAAUAUCAUCAAAAGGGAACCACCAGAAAGGCAGAAACGAUGCCUGGUUUGCACUCCCGCAAGAUACUUAUCAACAGAAUCCUCCCAAGAAGACACGUGGAACUCAUUUCCAGGUGGGGAGAACCUAGCCUGGCUUCUCCAGAGAGAGAAGCAGCUGCUUACAGCUGUCAUGACGGGAAGGAGCAUGUGCCUCCAGGUGAAAUCUUUCCUGAGCACUGUCUGGAUCCAGGCUUGUACUGACUGAUAAAAAUCAAACCUCCUGCUCAAUUUGAUAUAAAAACAGCCCGGGCAUUGGGACCAGCUUUGCACAAGGAAGUAGUCAGAAGAUAAAGAAGAUCAUUACUGAGAGGAGAAUGACUGAGGAGAACAGCCUCUAGACCAGGGAGGCUAGGCAUGGGGAAGAGAACACAGAUGGCGACUGAGACUGACCAAGCCUCUAUCCCCAGGGGAAGGUAGGAAAACCUGUCUGAGCAGAGAUAAGAUAGUGGCCAUCCUGUCUUCUGGGGCUCAGCAGCUAACCAAAGGAGCAAAGGGAGGGCAUAAACCUGUCCUCACUGAGGGAAGAAAACAUGAUUCUUUGAGCUGAGAAGUGGGGAGGCCUUUCUAGAGGACCAGAACAGGCAGUGAUGAGGAUGGAGUGGCCAUCCCAUGAACCCCAUCCCAAAGAGCUAUUGGAGAUAUGACUGGUCAUCUCAGAUCUAUGAAGAUGGAACAGAUAUCCUCUGGGACCAAAGAGGGAAAGGAUGCCAUCGCAGGGGGUUCAUCCAAGUGGGAGCAGUGCUGUUUUUGCUAAAGGGAAGGAGCACUAUUCCAAGAGCCAAUAGGGAAAGGGUGACCUGUCUCCCAUGGGCAGUGGGAGAGGGCUGCCAACUCUGUGGGCAAAAGGGAUGGAGAGGCCAUCUCAAGAGGCCACUGGGGACAAAACCUGUUAUCUCUCUCUGGCCAAUGGUGGCAGAGAGGUCUUGCCCCAGGCUAAGGAGAGGGAGCAAGCACCCCAUGGGAGAUAAGGUGGUAGGCCCCAUCAUCAGGGGCCAAGGGAAUGGGGAGCAGGCUUGUCUUUGGUGAAGGAACCCAGAGAUCAUGCCUGGAGUUGAUGGGAGGGGGAUGUCUGUCUCCCACCGCCAGGGGAGGGGGCAGCCUCUCUCGGGAAAGGAAUGGAACGACCAUCCCAAGGGGCCAGUAAGGGUAAGAUCGGUUACCCUGCGGAGAUGAUGGGAUGGAGCGGGGGGAGGGGCGGCCAUCUCAAGAGAAGGGGGCUAGGCAGAGGCCCUGUUCUCGCUGAGGUGACAGAGCAACCAUCUCUUGGGGCCAAUGGGGAAGGAGAGGAUGGUCCCCCAAGCUAAGGGGAUGGAGUGGCCCAAAAGUGGGGCCAUUACCCAUAGCCUGCAGGUCCUGGGGUCUCCCGGGCGGGUGGUUUCCGCCAGAUGGGCGAGGCCGGGCGAGCUGUCUGACAGCCCCUCCCCACAGCCCGGGACCCCGAGGUUGGGCCUGUCCCGAGCUAGGCCUGAGGGCGACCUCCUCUCACCUCCAGGGGCAGCG